ACUGGACAUGCAAGAGAGCUAUGCCAUCUUCUUCCUGCCAUACUGCCACGACUGCAAGAAGGAAAGCCACUCAAGCUGAAAAAGAAGGUGGUGGUUGCGGAGAAGUGUCUGUGAGGAGCUCUCAGCUCUGGAAAGGACUCACUGGUCUGAAAUAGCCCGGGACUGUUGAUCUCCAGGUCAUGCUACAAGAAGCAUCCUUCUGCUCACACUGGUGAUGACUGUGAUGUCUGCAGAAAAAGAAGAAUUUGUGCGAGCUCUGUAACAAGUGAGGGGAGAGUGUGGUCGCCUGCUAUUACAAAAUCCAUAGGAUCUGUGGAAGGGGAACAGUCCUGGGAGAAGACUUCAAGUGUCUGUUGUUUUGCAGUUGGGCUUUGCAGUAGAUCAAAAGCUACAGUGGGCCCUUCCACUUCUCAAGAGGGCCAGAAACAAGACCAGAACCUGCUAGUUCAGACCAAUAUCUGCUGCGGGGCAACGAUGGUACUGCAGGAGGAAACCGCUUUCUCCUUGACAAGCAGAAGACAAAAAGCCUUCCGACUCACUCACCCUUGAUUGAAAUGACACAUCGCUACAUCUUUCUCUCCUACAUGACUCUUACAAUCACAGCUCAUUAUCCUUGACCUGUCCUUAAUACUGUACAGUCUGCCUAAAAUAAAGGCUGAAUAGUCUUUUUGACUGUUCCUAUGUCAAACUCCUGUUUGUUUUGUCAGAAGCCAUAUAUUUUAAAAUAUUAUCUACCUUGACAACUCUGAGACCUUGACUGUAUCAGGGAAGAGUUCUGCUCUUUUAAUAGAAAUAUCCCCUCUUGACAAGAAGUAAAUAUAUCGUCCAUAACUGUCUCUGCUCUUCUCCUCUGUUUGACAUCCAAAAGAGGAGAUACAAACAGAGUGUGUAGCUGGUUGGUCAUGGAGAAAACAGUAAUUCUGUCCUAAUGAGGAAAACAGGCGAUUCUGGAGGGAAUCAAGUCUCCAGGGAGCAGGAACCAGAAUCAAAGAUCAUGCUGAUGUUGGUUGCCACAUGCUAUGGUCUUCCCAGUUUAGAAAAUACCACAUUCUUCUGAAGGGCCCACAGAAACAUCUGUGGGUUUGUGGGUUGGGUCCUGUUAAACGUUAACUGCUUAGUGCCAGGGAGCAGGAUCUCUCACCAGAGCUCAUAAUCUACAUGAGCAAAAUACUGCAAAAGAAGCAAGGUAAGAUUUGAAAAGCUGCCUAUCCAAAACUUAGUAAACAUAAAUAAUGUAUUUCUUCCUGGCCUCGGUCUGCUUUAACGUAGCAGCACAAAAGCAGCCUUGCUAUUGCUGCUGAGUGCAGCUAAUGGUCUUUUUGUCUAAAUUACAGUUGGUCCCUCUAAAAGUGUGUUUCCUGCCAAGUGCGGUUUCACGAAAUGCUGAGUCAGAGAAGCAGGGAGGAGGGGCCAACAGCAGCAAGGGCAGCUGGCAAUGGACCCAUAAAAGUAAUGGCACUUUUAAAAGAAGGUUAAGAGACAAGAAUGUUUUGGUGCAAAAUGAGAAAAACUGGAAGGCAAAUAAACUGUAAAGCAGGAUAAGUUACAGCAUAUCAUUUCCCAGAAGGGAAUAUCAUAAUAUAGUAGUUUGAUGACAUAUAGAAUAAUGCCUUAAUAUUUAGGAGUAGAUCCUUUAAAAUAUUCAUGUGCUUCCUAUUGGACUAAGGGCUCAAAUAUAGUCAGGUCACCAUACAUCAGCACAGUGAUCUGCCCCAGGAAAUUUGAGGCAAUCUGCCCUAGUUCAGCUUUCUAUAAAAGAGACUUAAGUAAACCAGCUCACUUUAUAUCUGCCUGCGGGCACAUACCUUGGCAGCUAUUGUACUUCAAGUGAUAAACUGUGGGUUGUUAAGUGACAGUAAUUCACACUAGUAUCCAACGCACAUGAAGUCUGAAUACUUGUGAGGGCGUUAGCCAACUUUCUGACUUCCAGCUGGGGCAAGCGUUUUGCCACAUCAUCUACCUGAACUUGCCCUCAGCACUACCAGACAGCCAUCAUCCCUGACAGAUAGAAGAUGACGGCCUGUUGCAGCCAGCAGUGACAAGAAGAGAUGAAAGAUCAUUUGGUUCUUACACUUGAUGCCUGGAAAUGGAAACAGGAAAAAGAGUAGGAAGAAUGUAAUAAAAAGUGAGAUGGUGUUAAAAGUAGUUUAAGCAACUCCCAACCUCUCUGACCACUUGUCCCUGCUCUCUGUCACACCACCCCACCACCACCACCCCACCCCCCGUUGUGUCUGCAAAGUGUAUGUGGGAGCACAAAAGGGACUACAUGAGGGAUCUCAUGGAUUUGAAAAUUAACCCCCACCAAAACUUCUUGUUUUCCACCCAGAAAAAAAGUCAUUUAGCUGUAUGUACAAGCUCUGGGGUCAGUGUGACAAAGAGGGCAAGAACAAGUGCCUGCAGGGCUGUUUCAGACAGCACGACAAUGGAAAAAGUUCGUGUAACCCACAACCACCUUCUUAAUUUUCAAUGUCUUUUCCUGCUCCAAGCUCUAAUUCCAGCCACUCGGGACCUAAUCUUGUUUCCACUUAAAUAAAUUGCAACUUUGCCAUUAA